rnacentral:rRNA from 1 species
AACCUUUACUGUAGCUUUGCAUUGGACUUUGAAGUCACUUGUGUAGGAUAGGUGGGAGGCUUUGAAGCAGAGACGCCAGUCUCUGUGGAGCCGUCCUUGAAAUACCACCCUAGUGUCUUUGAGGUUCUAACCUAGACCCGUCAUCCGGGUCGGGGACCGUGCAUGGUAGGCAGUUUGACUGGGGCGGUCUCCUCCCAAAGCGUAACGGAGGAGUUCGAAGGUU